GGGCAAUCUGCCCUUCACUCUGGGACAAGCCCUGGAAACGGGGUCUAAUACCGGAUAACACUCUGUCCCGCAUGGGACGGGGUUGAAAGCUCCGGCGGUGAAGGAUGAGCCCGCGGCCUAUCAGCUUGUUGGUGGGGUGAUGGCCUACCAAGGCGACGACGGGUAGCCGGCCUGAGAGGGCGACCGGCCACACUGGGACUGAGACACGGCCCAGACUCCUACGGGAGGCAGCAGUGGGGAAUAUUGCACAAUGGGCGAAAGCCUGAUGCAGCGACGCCGCGUGAGGGAUGACGGCCUUCGGGUUGUAAACCUCUUUCAGCAGGGAAGAAGCGAGAGUGACGGUACCUGCAGAAGAAGCGCCGGCUAACUACGUGCCAGCAGCCGCGGUAAUACGUAGGGCGCAAGCGUUGUCCGGAAUUAUUGGGCGUAAAGAGCUCGUAGGCGGCUUGUUGCGUCGGUUGUGAAAGCCCGGGGCUUAACCCCGGGUCUGCAGUCGAUACGGGCAGGCUAGAGUGUGGUAGGGGAGAUCGGAAUUCCUGGUGUAGCGGUGAAAUGCGCAGAUAUCAGGAGGAACACCGGUGGCGAAGGCGGAUCUCUGGGCCAUUACUGACGCUGAGGAGCGAAA
rnacentral:rRNA from 2 species